rnacentral:rRNA from 1 species
AUUGAACGCUGGCGGCAGGCUUAACACAUGCAAGUCGAGCGAUCGGCGGACGUGUGAGUAAUGUCUGGGACACUGCCUGCUGGAGGGGGAUAACUACUGGAAACGGUAGCUAAUACCGCAUACCAUCUGAUGUGCCCAGAUGGGAUUAGCUAGUUGGUGGGGUAAUGGGUCACCAAGGCGAAGAUACCUAGCUGGUUUGAGAGGAUGACCAGACACACUGGAACUGAGACACGGUCCAGACUCCUACGGGAGGCAGCAGUGGGGAAUAUUGCACAAGGGGCGAAAGCCUGAUGCAGCCAUGCCGCGUGUGUGAAGAAGGCCUUCGGGUUGUAAAGCACUUUCAGCGAGGAGGCGUUACUCAAAGAAGAAGCACCGGCUAACUCCGUGCCAGCAGCCGCGGUAAUUC